rnacentral:tRNA from 1 species
GCGGGCGUAGCUCAGUUGGUAGAGCGCAACCUUGCCAAGGUUGAGGUCGCGGGUUCAAGUCCCGUCGCCCGCUCCA